rnacentral:rRNA from 1 species
UACAGAGGUCUCAAGCGUUGUUCGGAUUCAUUGGGCGUAAAGGGUGCGUAGGUGGCGCGGUAAGUCGGGUGUGAAAUUUCGGAGCUUAACUCCGAAACUGCAUUCGAUACUGCCGUGCUUGAGGACUGGAGAGGAGACUGGAAUUUACGGUAUAGCAGUGAAAUGCGUAGAGAUCGUAAGGAAGACCAGUGGCGAAGGCGGGUCUCUGGACAGUUCCUGACACUGAGGCACGAAGGCCAGGGGAGCAAACGGG